UACGUAGGGGGCAAGCGUUGUCCGGAAUUAUUGGGCGUAAAGAGCGUGUAGGCGGUCCGGUAAGUCGGCUGUGAAAGUCCAGGGCUCAACCCUGGGAUGCCGGUCGAUACUGCCGGACUAGAGUUCGGAAGAGGCGAGUGGAAUUCCCGGUGUAGCGGUGAAAUGCGCAGAUAUCGGGAGGAACACCUAUGGCGAAGGCAGCUCGCUGGGACGUUACUGACGCUGAGACGCGAAAGCCAGGGGAGCAAACGGG
rnacentral:rRNA from 1 species